rnacentral:misc_RNA from 1 species
UUGAAUACGAUUGGUACUGAUGCUGGCUCUUCACUGGGCAUGUGCUCGUCCAUCUUAUUUAUCUUCUCUUGUGCACAUUUUGUAGUCUUGAAGACCUCUGCGCAAAUUCAUUUUGCUGCAGGUUGGGAGAUGCUAACCCUUCUCUCGUUGCCUUUGUUGCAAGCCUUGGGGAAUGUUAACCCUUUCCUCGCGUCUUCAAGACUAUGUUUUCAUAUACACUAUAAAGUUACAGAAUGUCUUUUAACGACUGCUUGCAGUCAUUAAACCUAUA